rnacentral:rRNA from 1 species
AAGGCUUGACAUGAAUUAGUAAGGCGCAGAAAUGCGUCCCCCUCUUGAGGCUGGUUUACAGGUGGUGCAUGGUUGUCGUCAGCUCGUGUCGUGAGAUGUUGGGUUAAGUCCCGCAACGAGCGCAACCCUCGUUCUAUGUUGCCAGCGCGUGAUGGCGGGGACUCAUAGGAGACUGCCGGGGUCAACUCGGAGGAAGGUGGGGACGACGUCAAAUCAUCAUGCCCCUUAUGUCUUGGGCUUCACGCAUGCUACAAUGGCCGGUACAAAGGGUUGCGAUACUGUGAGGUGGAGCUAAUCCCAAAAAGCCGGUCUCAGUUCGGAUUGGGGUCUGCAACUCGACCCCAUGAAGUCGGAGUCGCUAGUAAUCGCAGAUCAGCAACGCUGCGGUGAAUACGUUCCCGGGCC